rnacentral:rRNA from 1 species
GACGAACGCUGGCGGCGUGCUUAACACAUGCAAGUCGAACGGAAAGGCCCUGCUUUUGUGGGGUGCUCGAGUGGCGAACGGGUGAGUAACACGUGAGUAACCUGCCCUUGACUUUGGGAUAACUUCAGGAAACUGGGGCUACUACCGGAUAGGAGCCCCUGCUGCAUGGUGGGGGUUGGAAAGUCUCGGCGGUUGGGGAUGGACGCGCGGCUUACCAGCUUGUUGGUGGGGGAGUGGCUUACCAAGGCUUUGACGGGUAGGCGGCCUGAGAGGGUGACCGGGCACAAUGGGACUGAGAUAGGGAGCAGACUCCUACGGGAGGCAGCAGUGGGGAAUAUUGCCCAAUGAGCGGAAGCCUGAUGCAGAGACGCCGCGUGCGGGAUGACGGCCUUCGGGUUGUGAACCGCUUUCGCCUGUGACGAAGCGGGAGUGACGGUAAUGGGUAAAGAAGCACCGGCUAACUACGUG